AACUUUGUGCAGUGGCAGUAUCAUAGCCAAUGAGGAUCAUCCAAGGUGUGAUUUUUGCUAAUUGAAAACUGUCCCAAUACCCUGCCAUGACAACUUGAAAUAUAGUUGUCAUUGGCAAUUUUUGACAGUCUCUACGGAUA